AAAUUUGUUCAUUGGAUCUAACUUGCUUGGUAGUGAGAUAAUCGUUCCUGUACGGACGGUGAAACCGUAAAGAUACCUCUCCCAGACAGACGACUCUUCCGUGUCUAUAAUUAGCUACGUUGUCUAUACAUUUAAAAGUUAUCUAUGGUAAUGCUGUCACCUGCAUUCUAGUUUUGUGAGUAAUUAAACCGGUAUCUAGAUAAUGGGUUCAUAUUUUGCCUGUGAAACCAGGGGAAAAGGGAAAAUAGAGUAAUUGUUCACCUCUCAGAGUAAGAGCCCACAAAUGGAAAGUAUGUUAACAAGGUGACCACAAAGCCAAAAUAUUUCACUGACAAAAACUUUUUAAUACAUUUUUUAAUAUGAAGUAAUAAAAUCUAAUUAAUUUCAAUAACCCCCUGUAACGGCUUUAUACAAUCAAAGGACUUUUUUUCAUUUUGGACAGUUGAUCGUAAACUAGUGAUUCAGUGACUGAAGUUAGGGUAGAGGUGCUGGAGGAGGAGAGACAGGUGGCAGGAGUUGGAAGACUGAGUGGCCCAGAGAGUAAUGAGACAGGGACUGAAAAAACAGAGAGACAGAGUGACCCAGAGAGUAGUGAGACAGACUGAACCAACAGAGAGACUGAGUGGCCCAGAGAGUAGUGAGACAGACUGAACCAACAGAGAGACAGAGUGGACCAGAGAGUAGUGAGACAGACUGAACCAACAGAGAGACAGAGUGGACCAGAGAGUAGUGAGACAGACUGAACCAACAGAGAGACUGAGUGGCCCAGAGAGUAGUGAGACAGACUGAACCAACAGAGAGACAGAGUGGACCAGAGAGUAGUGAGACAGACUGAACCAACAGAGAGACUGAGUGGCCCAGAGAGUAGUGAGACAGACUGAACCAACAGAGAGACAGAGUGGACCAGAGAGUAGUGACCUGCCCCAUGUCAGUAGAUCCUGUUCAUCAUUGAUGUUUCUCCAUAACACUUCCUCAUGACUGCCAGUCCUCUUCAGAGCUCUCUCUCGCUGGAACCGGUGGGUCGGCCACACGGGUAACGCAUGGUGCCAAAGGGUGCUAUUGUCCUCUGUCAGAGAGCCCUUUUGUCUCCGACUGGGCUCGAUGGUUGCAGGAAGCUCGCCCUCUGGUUCUUAGGUCGCGUCCCAAAUAGCACCCAGUUUGACCUUAAAGGCCCCCGGUCAGAGGUAAGACACCAUAUUUGCCAUUAGAGGUGCAUGCUUCCUGACGUUAACGACUUGGCGUUUUGGAAUUUGUGCCCGUGUCUUUGGGUUAAGACAUGGUAACUUUUUGUUUCCUUUCAUUUCUGUCCUUAAACCUCCCCUCUUUAAGGGGCUUAAAAUAGGACACCUCCUGGAUUUUGCCCCUUUAUGCCACUCCACCAACUGUCUCAGACCUCAUGAACAGAAAGGUUUGUCACAGGGAGGCGGUGAUUGGCCAAACAGGAAUCCAUGACAGUGUUUCUGGGAUGCAGAAUGUACACCAGGAACAAUAUGCGUGAGCCGUCCUUUUAUUUAUUUGUUCUUUCUUUCUGACAGUAAGUACUGAGUGUUUCCUCAUUUUCUCUUGCAUGGUCAACGCAGGGUUUGGGCUUUAAAUAGAGAACUAAUUUUUGCAUGGCAGGCACUCGUUUCCGUUGGACACCAACCCAGGGAAACUACUAUGGGCUGCAGCAGGGAGACACGACCAAGAACAGAGAGUCAAUUUCUGUGUACUUUUCCACUGCAUUGAUCUUAGUCAGCAAAUCUUAGCCUUCAUUUUAUAUUAUCAGACUCUUGUCGGUGCUGUCAUCCUUUGUGAAAAUACAAACAAAUAUCCAGACUCCACAUUGACAAUGAAAGUAAACAACUUACAUUGGAAAACUGCAAGGAAAUCCUAAAAUAUAAACCUACUUCACUUUACAAUAUCAUAAUAAAAAAUAAGGUGUAAAACCCCACAUUUGUGGUUUAAUCAAGAGACCCCCCAUGUAUAUAUGCAUUUACAUUCCAGCAAUAUACACUUUACAUUUCAGUGAUUCAGCAGAUACUGUCUGGACCAAUUUAUAGGAGCAAUUUGUUUUAAAACUGUCUUGCUCGAGUACGAAUGUCAGAUAAUUUCACCUUUCAGUUAUUGCUCAGAUCCUCUAACGGCUGUAAAAACUGAAAUGUAAAUAGCUGAUCAAUAGGUACAUUUUAAGUGGAUAAAAAAAACUGGGAUUUGACUGAAUGUCUUUUGACUGUUAUCGGAUGCGAAUGUAAGUGUGAAUUGCUGCGGUACAGGAACAUGGACGACGUUUCUUCUUUGACUCUCCCCCUUUGCGCUCAGCUGAAUCCGGCCACAGCAGUCAUUAUCUUCAAGAGACUUCGUAAUCAAAACCGCCCGGCGCUACACUGGUCUAAGACUUUACAGGAAGACAAGACGCCUGAUUUGAAAUGAAUGUCGCUGCUCCUUGAUUGUAAUCUGGUUGUGUUUACAUGGCUGUGGACCAUGGAUGUGUACAUGCUCUGAACACGGCCUUGAAUUUUAUAUGAGGAAGUCUGUCUGUGUAGGUGAGGCGUUUCGGUACGCGCGUGUUGUCAACAGACCUGAGUUCAAAUACUACUUGAUGUCACAAACAGUACUGGAUGUGGUCUUGAUUGGGCUGGCCACAUUAGAACCAAUGGAAUGGUCACAUUGAGUGCUUGUCCCACCCACCUGGCUCUCUAAGUAGACUGGAGCAAACAUGACAAGGAAUUUAAACGAUUUCAAGUACCGUUUGAACUCAUGUUUUUUUUUUUAAACCGUGUACUAUCCAAAUAUUUAUCAAAUAUCAAAGAAAGCCAUGGAUGUAUUUUUCUUCUUUUUUUUGUAGAUUGGACAAGCAUUUGACUCAAGGUUUGGUGAUCACUAUUCCAUGGAGGAUUACUGAUGAGGAUUAAAGGAAAGCACGACCGAAUCAAAGCUGAUGUUAUUUGGAAUGACAAGUAAAUGAAUUUGGCUAAUAAACGCAAACGUUUAUUUCUGUCUGACGACACUGUUGUCCUACUGAACACCCAAUGGAAGAAGAUGCCUGCAUGUAUAAGACAUGAAUACUAUUUUCUCUGUGUUUCUCACAGGACCCUGAAUCCAGUCAGUCAAUCAGAAAUUAAACUCUUGUCAAAUGGCGCCCUUUACAUUUACCUCAGCUGAGGUGUAUGUAAACCUGUAGUUAGUGCACUACUUUUGACCCUAGACUUGGGCGAAAGAACGUGCCGGAAGGCUCUCUGGUUAAAGCUAGUGCACUCUGUUGGGAACGAGGUGCCAUUUGGAAUAUGUUCUUCCAACUUUCCUUCCGGUCCUAACCGGUCCAAAUGUAACUGCAUUGGUGCUCGCAUUGUUGACCACGUGCCUUUGGUUCUGCAUUAAGUUGGUCAUUCUACCAGUUGUGCUAUGUACCCCGGUUCUGUUCUAUGUACCCCGGUUCUGUUCUAUGUACCCCGGUUCUGUUCUAUGUAACCCGGUUCUGUUCUAUUAUCCCCAUGCUUUUUGUAAAACCAACUGCUUUGCCGACCAAUAAACGCGUAAUGUUGGAAUGUUCCGGUGCUCACUGUGUUUCAUUCUGACCUCGCUGAGCCACUGACAGGUCUCUGGACAACGUGCCGUUAAGGAAACAACCGAG
ensembl:lncRNA